rnacentral:misc_RNA from 1 species
CAGACGAACACUUAGAUCAAGAUUGUGUUGAUUCUAAUUCUUACAUCAAUUACCAUUUCACCAAAGAUAUCAUCACUAACACCUUGAUAAUAGUUCCUCUCCUAGAACCAAGACAACAUCCUAUUUAUCCCAAAAUUCAGUUGGAUAUUAUUCUGCAGUUUCGAAAACUUUAGCGCCCGUCUCUGCCUCAGUGAUCCAUGGCGGAUUUGUCAUCGAACCGAGCAAUGGAGUUUCCGGGACAAGAUCAUACAUCUCAAGUUCUUCCGACGCGGCCAUGCAUGCAGAGCCGUUGCCAAGACGUUGAUCCAAGAUAUUACCUAUUUGCGAGGCUUCCACGGCAAAAAGCAAAAUGUCUUCGGCAGGAGGAAUCCUGUCAUGAUUAUGCAUGCCUGGUCAUGCCAGUGAAUCGACGCUACAAAACUAAAAAGACGGUGUGCGCUGUGCAGGGGUCGUCAGACAGCACGAUGGAGUGGAUGAUGAUGAAUAUGGACCGCUUCUUCGCCCCGACCAUCCAGCUGGGUGGUUAUGUGGGCGAAGACAAGUAUGUGGUCGCACCCAACUGUCGAGCCAAAGUAGAAGAGAUUCUUCAUCGCCUGAACCAAGACAAAGCAAGAUGGCACUUCAGACGAUCAUUAUUCAUGAACAAAAUAAUAUCAAAGAAUUUGUUGCCAACAUUAAUUCAUGUAAAAGAUGAUAGAGGAGUAAUGGAAGCAAUUAUUAAAGUGCUACAAGAAUUGAUGACACCUGUGGAAUGUCUUAUGCCGGUGGAAAUAAUGGGAAGAAAUUAUGAGGGUCGUCAUAUUGUACAUGAACUGGAAUCCGCCAUAGUAAUGACUAAGAAGCUAUUCCUCGAUACCCGUGUCACUAAAGCUCUCAUUGAUCUGAUGAGUUCAGUUUUACAGGAUUCAAAGGUGCUAAGCCUUGCCGAGUGUGAGCUUAUCAACCAUUGCCUGCUGCUGGUGAGAAACCUCCUCCAUGUGAGCAACAUCCCCUGUCCACUCAUCAACAAAGCCAUGUACAAUCCACCAACAUCAUCAUCAUCCUCAAAUCAGCAGGCUGGAGCGAGUCCAGAAGUUUUGACUGAGGAUCAAAUUAUGUGGAACCUGUUUGCUCAUAGAUUCGACAAUAUCCUCAUACAGUUGUUAACAUGUGACCAGCAGCAUUUAUGGAAUGUCACCCUAGUGCAGCUCGUGUCCUUAAUGUACCGUGAGCAGCAGCAAAGCACAAUUCGAAAGCUUAUUCACGAAUGGUUGGAAUCCUCUCUCUCGGAGAGUUCGGAGGAUGAUGAGAAUAAUACCAUGUCAUCUUCAUCCUCGGAUGCCAUCUCUACAUCUGAUCCGGUAUCAGACUCCUCAGAAAGAUUAUCUCCCGUUGACAGUGUUAACAAAGGGGAGAACACUAAUGUAAAUGAAAAUAAUGAAAAUUCAGACACUUCAAGAAUUGCAAAGACAGAUAAGGAGGAUAGCUGUAAGGACAGUGGGUUUGGCCGGUCAGGUUCUAACAUGGAUUCGUCUCCUGAAGAGUCAGUUUCAGAGGGCACCAGUCAACGUAUGCAGAAAAUUUGGAAUUCCACUUCUACAAAUGAUGAUAGUCAGCAAUACUCCACUGAUCACACAUCAUCACUAAACAAUUUGGACCAAGUCCAGAAUGAAAAUGUAAAGCAUAGAGAGAACAAGAUGGAUCAGAUGGAAACUUCUCCUUUAGGACUAGAUAACAUGAAGGACGAACUUAGUGAAAGGGAAAGUGAUCAAGGAGGAAGUGGAGGUAGCGAAGGGGGUAGCGAAGGUAGUAGUCCAGUGCCUGCUAUGGGCCAAGAAUCCCCAAUAUCACAGAUAGAUAUUGAUAGUCGGGAUCCAAACCUUCCUCAGUAUAUUCAUAAUGUUGAUGAAGAGAUUCUAACAGCCGUUGGUUCAUUGCUGAUGGAGGAUGGAGGCUGUGACCCGACACCAUUAAGAGUAGAGACCAUAGAUAAUGUGGCCCAAAUGGAAGAGGAGGUUAAUCAGCAGAUGUGUUCACCACAAGAGUCCAUCAAGAGACCCCCAAACAAAGAGGAGUCUGGGUCAAGUGGUGAUUCAAGUGAGAAAAAGCCUCCACCUCAGUUGCCAAAGUUACUUAAGAACAAGCCCCUAACAGGUCAGAAAAGAUCCAGACACACAAUGUCACAAAAAAUGCUCUCAGAGAGUCAGGAGAAUAACGAAUCGAGCAACUCAACCGGCUCGGAAUGCGACGAGGGCCCCCAUGCCAAGCGGCCGCAUCAUCAGAAGCCUCACAAGAUGUUGAGCAAACCAAGACCAGCCAAGAUGCUCCAGAAGGCACUACAGGAAAGAAACAUCAAGCGGAGUAAAUUGAUGAAGCGCAAAGAGAGUAACAGCAUAAAGGCAAAAGCACUCUUACAUCAUCACCCAACAGCAGAUGAUAUUUCUAACUUACUGAAGGAAUUCACAGUUGACUUUAUGCUUAAUGGAUAUUCUAAUAUGGUACAGGGUUUAAGACUACAAGUUAUGCUACCGUACCAGAUUGAUCUUGACAAAUCUCAUGUUUUGUGGCUCAUAACAUACUUCCUGCGGUUUGCUGUUGAGCUUGAUCUGGAGCUCUCACAAAUUUGUCCAGUUUUGUCAGUUGAUGUGGUUUCUUACUUGGUGUACGAAGGAGUAGUUAUGCAAGAAGAGUUGGAACAAGCAGUCCGUUCUGGUGAAGACAAUCUACUCCCUCAUGUCAGACGUCUGCACCUUGUGGUUACAGCUCUUAGGGAAUUUUUUGUAGCCUUGGAUGUCUGUUUGAAGAAGGAACAGAACUUGUGUAAUGCUGGGAAUUUAUUGCAAAUAAAAGAAGAACUUGGGCAGCUUGUUGAAGUCCGACAGUUGUUUGUCCUGUUGAUACGCAUGUAUAGGCCAGGAGUAUUGAACCUCAAUUAUCUCCAAGAUCUCAUUACAACAAAUCAUCGAUUCCUGACAACUCAGGAGGGUAACAACCCCACAAGUGCAUCCUCGCAGUGUUUCAACAUUGUAAAUCAUAUCAAACAAUUUGCCACCAUGGACAUGAUGCGUCAAUAUGGCCGGCUCCUUGAAAACUUCAACAUCAAUGAUGAAACUGUAAAUGACUGCAUAUUCACAAUGAUGCACCACAUUGCGGGGGAUCUGCGCAAUGUCAAUGUUUUACUGCAACCACCUAUUUUGAGAGUUUUCCUCCGCAUUUGGAAGGAGGGUUUUGAACUUUGCGCAGAUUGGGCUGAUCUCAUAGAAUAUGUUUUAAGAAAAUGCACUCGUGUUCGCACAGAACACCCCAAUAAGGAAAAGAAAGACACACAGAAACCAGUGUCAGAACCUCUGGGCAUUGAAUUGACGGACGAAGACCUUGACCAGCUCUACUCUCUCUACACUGCCUCCACCAGCGAGCAAGACUUAAUGGAUAAAAUCAAAGAAAUCUGCUGUGAUGACUCAAUAGAAGAACCAAUUAAGAAAGAGGUUAUCCAGAAGUUGCUUGCCCGAGGAUUUAUAACUACAAGUGAAUGUUCAAAACUUUGUGCUGAGAUACCACCAAUUGAGCCUCUGGUCAGCAAGAGUGAGGGGGCUUUGAGUGUGGAGUGUGAUGUCAUGCAAGUGAGCAGCGACUCUGAGGAAUCCAUGGAUGCUCCACAUCCUGCACCGCUUAAGAGCAUCAACAAGAAAUACUCCGAGAAGAACAUCAGCGCAGUUCAUGAGAUGAUGCCACUGCUUGGCCCACUGAAAAGCAAGAAGCUUGUGCCUCCAGAAGUUGACAAUGCCAAGAACUUGGAAGAGAAGAUCAUCCCAUUGCACAAGGAAACAAGUGAUUCAGUACAAGGUGCUUCAUCAGACAAAACCGAAGAAAGUGCAGAAAGCAACAUGACCUGUACUGAAGAUAGCACUGACUGGGAUGAUAAUACAACCAUAACAAUGCUUAUAGGCCAACUUAAGGAAGAAGGUUAUGGGGCUCAAGUCCAGUGGUUGCAGCUUCAACUCUUAGAAGCUUGUUAUUCAAAGCUGAAGAUGGUUGGCCCAAACUUACCAAAGGCAGAACCAGUCCCUUGUCAUUUUACACUAUCAAAUCAAUCCAUACCACUGGUACCAUGGACAAGUGAGCAGGAAGAAGCAUUUUCCUCCUUAAAGUUCCGCCAAUUGCUGGGAGAGCUUGGCUUCCACCUCCCCUCUGACACGGGUAAAAUCUUCCCAAGAAUUCCACACUUUUGGUGUCCGGAUGUACUGUUCAUGGUGGCAAAACGUCUUGGACCCAUUAAUGGCAAGGAGAUGAAGACACCACUGUCCUCAAGGAUUCUUCACUGCUUGAUUGUGAUGACUCCUCUGAACGAGUUAGCGACUGCUCCAUGGAAAACAAUCGCUCCAGCCCCACCUCACCCGCAUCCUCAAUAGACGAGAAACUGGCUCUGCUGCACGACGAAGAGACCGAGAGCAGCGAAUUCUCCCAAAGAAUCCCUAUGGCUGGUUUGAUGGUAUCUCCAGCAGGCGUACCAGCUGGUCAUGAGAGUCUAGAAGACCAUGACGGCGUAAUAUCCUCCCCAGCACGACCCAUUUCAACAGCUGAUGAUGUCAUGAUGAUGUUGUCAGACACUGAAGAGGCUCCUGCAUCAGUGGAAGUACCUCUUUUUCUGUGUUCUGAAAACCAGGAAGUGAAAAUGGACACGUAGACUCUUUGCAAUGCUCUUGGGCAACUUGUCAUGACUCAUUCUCUUCUGUGAAACCUGUGUUGAUGCGCUGAGACUUGUAUGUGAUGAAUGGAUACGAAAUCAUGAUGAUUGAAGUCAUUCCAACAGAAAAUCAGUGAAGUUGUUUAAUAAUUUAUCUAGUUUUUAAGAUAGUAUAUUUUUUUUAAUUUGUACAUAGAUUGUUAAAUGGACUGUACAACAAUGUGUUUGAAGCACAGGAAACUGAUUAGUACAACUUGCAGUUGGACUAUUCACCCUAUACAUGGAGGAGAUAUUGAUGUAUAAUUUUUUUUAUGAAGAAAUAUCCACUGAUUAUUGUAUAUUUAUACUGCUAAUGCAAAAUUUCUUAAUUUUCAUGAAUCAUUACACAUGUACAGUUGUUCAUACUUAAACAUCCCAUACACAUAAACAGGCACUAGGGGAGCAAAUUCUUAGCUCUUGAGUACAAAAUAUAUUACCAUGAAUAACAGGACCAUUUUACUAUAAUCAUACUGGUCUUUUCGAAGAGGAAAGUAAGUUAUAUUUUUUAGAAUGUUUUUGGGGCAAGCUGUGAUUGUUUACAUAUAUAUAUAUAUAUAUAUAUAUAUAUAUAGAAAAAAAAAAAAAAAAAAAAUAGAUUGUGCCGUAGAAAUAUGAGAUUGUUUCCUCUUGUGAUCAGGUACAUGUUUGUUUAGAUAUGUCAUGCAGGACAUUAGUUGAACAGGCCUGCCCUUGUAGAAAGACCUCUAGUAAGUUUGGAUCUCUAUCACUGUAAGAUCAUGUUCCUCUAGUCCUUGAAUUCUUGACUUCAAGCUCAAAGCAAAAUAUAUUUCAGGUUUUUGUGUUAGUCUUUUUUUAUUGUUAGGCAUAAUUUGCAAUGUCACUGUAAUGUAUAUAAUUGUCCAUAUGUCAGUAAAAUAUUUAUAGAUAC